AAAAAAACAUCGCAUUUCUCUAUACCUGUUUAAUUUUCAAUCCAACCAGAGCAAUGUCUGAAAACGUUUUUCAAUAUCAUUGACCAGUUCAAGAUCCAAAACCAAAACAUGCGAUAAUACAAAAUUCUAUGUCAGAGUAAGGCACGAACAAUUCCGUAGAUUGACGACCGUUACUCCAAAAUACCCCUCGGAUUAGCCAUCUGUUUAAAUAUUGCUAUCAAAAUGAACUCCAUCUCUUUAUAAACCCGAA
rnacentral:lncRNA from 1 species